rnacentral:lncRNA from 1 species
GCCCCUUCUUUUUCCUCAAUCUCCCGCACUCUCUUUUUCAUAUCUUCCAACUCCUACAACUCCAAUCUCAGGAAAUCUAUUUUUGGUGUUCAUUCCUCGACGAACUGCUUGAGGUUCUUUAGCCAAGUGAUGUAUUCUUUGCUGUCUUUGCAGAUCAUGUACUCAUGCAACAAAUUGGUUUUGCCGGGCUCGAUUCCUCUUAUCUCUACAUACUUGUGAAAAGCCUUCUGCAGAUUUUCAUCCAAGUCUUUGAAAGAUAAAAACACACCAUUUGCAUAUUGUUUGGAAGAGAAAAACAGACACUCAGAGAUAACAUAAACAGGAUACAUGGACAAAGAUAUUUAGAUACUAAUCAGGUCCUUCAUAUGCUAUUUUGAUCUUUAGAGCUCUCGGGGUCCUUAACAGACAAGCUGUCGAUUGCAAUCUCAUCAGGGUAAGCGUACAUCUAAACUCUAAACAGGAUCCAUUUCUCUUGGAAACUCUGAAAACAAGAAGUAAACUCAAUUGAGAGCCUCUUUCUUCAUCGUUAUUGUCAUUGUCAUCAUCGAUCAAUUAUAAGGUCGGGCAUGUGAACUUCGACUCUUAUAGUUUCACCCUGAUUUUCUCUAGUUAGAGUUAUGGUUUGUUGUCUGGGAUCAGGGGCGGAGCCACUAC